rnacentral:rRNA from 1 species
AUUGAACGCUGGCGGCAGGCCUAACACAUGCAAGUCGAGCGGGGACUUCGGUCCUAGCGGCGAACGGGCGAGGAAUGCUUGGGAAUCUGCCCAGUAGCGGGGGAUAACGUUUCGAAAGGAACGCUAAUACCGCAUACGCCCUACGGGGGAAAGGGGGGGAUCUUCGGACCUCUCACUAUUGGAUGAGCCCAAGUCGGAUUAGCUAGUUGGUGGGGUAAAGGCCUCCCAAGGCGACGAUCCGUAGCUGGUCUGAGAGGAUGAUCAGCCACACUGGAACUGAGACACGGUCCAGACUCCUACGGGAGGCAGCAGUGGGGAAUAUUGGACAAUGGGCGAAAGCCUGAUCCAGCCAUGCCGCGUGUGUGAAGAAGGCCUUCGGGUUGUAAAGCACUUUAAGCGAGGAGGAAUGGCUCUUGGUUAAUAACCUUGAGCAGUGACGUUACUCGCAGAAUAAGCACCGGCUAACUCUGUGCCAGCCGCCGCCGUAA